UGAAACCUCGUCUCCACUAAAAAUACAAAAAAUUAGUCAGGCGUGAUGGCACGUGCCUGUAGUCCCAGCUACUCAGGAGGCUGAGGCAGGAGAAUUGCUCGAAUCUGGGAGGCAGAGGUUGCAGUGAGCCGAGAUUGGACCACUGCACUCCAGCCUGGGCAACAGAGCGAGACUCCAUCUCGAAAUAAAUAAAUAAAAUUUGGAAG
rnacentral:lncRNA from 1 species